rnacentral:rRNA from 1 species
AGUACGUGAAACUGCUUAGAGGUUAAGCCCGAUGAACCUGAAUAUCCGUUAUGGAAAAUUCAUCACUAAUACUAUGAUAUUUAUAAUAUUAUAGAAAUGGUGUGCAAUUUUUCCAUAUAAGGACAUUGUAAUCUGUUAAUGUAUUAAAUAUUUAUUAAAAGAUCUUAUACAUAAGUUUAUUCAAAUUAGUUAUUUUCGGAUUUCUAACAUAGAAUAAAUGUAUUUGAUUUAAUAAAUCAUUGACAGAUUUAAUUAUAAUAUAGUGCUUAAAUUUUGAAAGAAAUUUUACAAUAAUAUGAUAAUUCAAUUUGUUAUAUUUAUUGUAUGCACUUAUAUGAUUAACAAUGCGAUAGAUUCAGGAUACCUUCGGGACCCGUCUUGAAACACGGACCAAGGAGUCUAACAUAUGUGCAAGUCAUUGGGUAUUUUUAAUAAAACCCAAUGGCAUAAUUAACUUAACUGUUUUUUAAAUGGGAUUAGUUUAUAUUUUAUUAUGAAAUAUUAAUUCAAUCCCGGGGCGUUCUAUAUAGUUAUGCAUAAUGAUAUUUAUAUUAUUUAUGUCUCUAACUAGAGC